rnacentral:rRNA from 1 species
ACGGGUGCGUAACGCGUGGGAAUCUGCCCCUUGGUUCGGAAUAACAGUUGGAAACGACUGCUAAUACCGGAUGAUGACGUAAGUCCAAAGAUUUAUCGCCGAGGGAUGAGCCCGCGUAGGAUUAGGUAGUUGGUGUGGUAAAGGCGCACCAAGCCGUCGAUCCUUAGCUGGUCUGAGAGGAUGAUCAGCCACACUGGGACUGAGACACGGCCCAGACUCCUACGGGAGGCAGCAGUGGGGAAUAUUGGACAAUGGGCGAAAGCCUGAUCCAGCAAUGCCGCGUGAGUGAUGAAGGCCUUAGGGUUGUAAAGCUCUUUUACCCGGGAUGAUAAUGACAGUACCGGGAGAAUAAGCUCCGGCUAACUCCGUGCCAGCAGCCGCGGUAAUACGGAGGGAGCUAGCGUUAUUCGGAAUUACUGGGCGUAAAGCGCACGUAGGCGGCUUUGUAAGUAAGAGGUGAAAGCCCAGAGCUCAACUCUGGAAUUGCCUUUUAGACUGCAUCGCUUGAAUCAUGGAGAGGUCAGUGGAAUUCCGAGUGUAGAGGUGAAAUUCGUAGA